AGUGGCGAACGGGUGAGUAACGCGUAUGCAACCUACCUCUGACUGGGGCAUAGCCCCGAGAAAUCGGGAUUAAUACCUCAUAAUAUAUUUGUAAUGCAUAUUACGAGUAUUAAAGCAUUAGCGAUUAGAAAUGGGCAUGCGUGACAUUAGCUUGUUGGUAAGGUAACGGCUUACCAAGGCGACGAUGUCUAGGGGGUCUGAGAGGAUGGCCCCCCACACUGGUACUGAGACACGGACCAGACUCCUACGGGAGGCAGCAGUGAGGAAUAUUGGUCAAUGGGCGCAAGCCUGAACCAGCUAUCCCGCGUGCAGGAAGACAGCCUUAUGGGUUGUAAACUGCUUUUCUACAGGAAGAAACUCCCGAACGUGUUCGGGACUGACGGUACUGUAGGAAUAAGCAUCGGCUAACUCCGUGCCAGCAGCCGCGGUAAUAC
rnacentral:rRNA from 1 species